rnacentral:rRNA from 1 species
CAGUUCGGAUUGUAGUCUGCAACCCGACUACAUGAAGCCGGAAUCGCUAGUAAUCGCGGAUCAGAAUGCCGCGGUGAAUACGUUCCCGGGUCUUGUACACACCGCCCGUCACACCAUGGGAGUCGGAAAUGCCCGAAGCCGGUGACCCAACCCGAAAGGGAGGGAGCCGUCGAAGGCAGGUCGGAUGACUGGGGUGAAGUCGUAACAAGGUACC